GAUGAACGCUGGCGGCGUGCCUAAUACAUGCAAGUCGAGCGAACAGACGAGGAGCUUGCUCCUCUGACGUUAGCGGCGGACGGGUGAGUAACACGUGGAUAACCUACCUAUAAGACUGGGAUAACUUCGGGAAACCGGAGCUAAUACCGGAUAAUAUAUUGAACCGCAUGGUUCAAUAGUGAAAGACGGUUUUGCUGUCACUUAUAGAUGGAUCCGCGCCGCAUUAGCUAGUUGGUAAGGUAACGGCUUACCAAGGCAACGAUGGGUAGCCGACCUGAGAGGGUGAUCGGCCACACUGGAACUGAGACACGGUCCAGACUCCUACGGGAGGCAGCAGUAGGGAAUCUUCCGCAAUGGGCGAAAGCUUGACGGAGCAACGCCGCGUGAGUGAUGAAGGUCUUCGGAUCGUAAAACCCUGUUAUUAGGGAAGAACAAAUGUGUAAGUAACUAUGCACGUCUUGACGGUACCUAAUCAGAAAGCCACGGCUAACUACGUG
rnacentral:rRNA from 1 species